UGCUUAAUCUACCGGAGUGUCUAUUGCACCGAUUAUCGGCGCAGUAAAAUUCAUUUUGCUAUCUUACCGAUCAAAUUUUUAACCAAUCAUAGAGAGUAUCUGUCCACGUGACUCUCCGAUUUUUUUUUCAAAAAUAAUUUAGCUCUGUUUAUAGUAGUCAAGGCAGCUACAAUUUUUGUAACAUCUUGAUUUUCUUCAUAUGAAGAAUAACAAAUAGCCAUUCAUGAAUUUGAAAAAGAAAAAAGGACGAUCUUCUGGAAGAGAGAAGCGAAAACUUUACAAAAUGCUUCAAAGAAAUUUAAAAAAUUUGAUAAGGCUCCGCUGGAAUUGAAAUACACAUGGUGGAAGAAUUCAUUAAAAAAAAUGUACAGAUAACAGUCGCCAAUCCAAAACCUUUACUCAAAAUUGUCCAGCUGCUGUCUCCAGAUAAACAAUUUUUGCAGAUAAAAUCAAUGAAUGAGGAUCAUGACCAUGUCCUCUCCGAAUCUUUGUUCCGUUCUUCGCCUAAAGAAAGCCUGAUACCUGUUGAGCACCAAGAGAAAGUUCAAAAAUAUGUGAAUCUCCAAGUAUCUAUAUUUCUGUUCCAUUUCAUAUAGGUAAAAA
rnacentral:lncRNA from 1 species